GACGAACGCUGGCGGCGUGCUUAACACAUGCAAGUCGAACGGGAACCUUUAUUUCGGUAAAGGUGAGAGUGGCAAACGGGUGAGUAACACGUAGGCAACCUGCCGACAGGAUGGGGACAACAUUCCGAAAGGAAUGCUAAUACCGAAUGGAGUCCGAGGAUGGCAUCAUCCUUGGAUAAAAGAUGGCCUCUGAAUAUGCUAUCGCCUGUCGAUGGGCCUGCGUCUGAUUAGCCAGUUGGCGGGGUAACGGCCCACCAAAGCGACGAUCAGUAGCCGGUCUGAGAGGAUGAACGGCCACAUUGGGACUGAGACACGGCCCAGACUCCUACGGGAGGCAGCAGUGGGGAAUCUUCCACAAUGGGCGAAAGCCUGAUGGAGCAACGCCGCGUGAGUGAAGAAGGUCUUCGGAUCGUAAAGCUCUGUUGCACGGGACGAAAACUGGGUUUGAGAACAUUGAACCUGGGGACGUACCGAGCGAGAAGCCAC
rnacentral:rRNA from 1 species